rnacentral:rRNA from 1 species
GGAAUAUUGGUCAAUGGAUGGAAGUCUGAACCAGCCAUGCCGCGUGCAGGAAGACGGCCUUCUGGGUUGUAAACUGCUUUUGCCAGGGGCUAAAAAGCUCAUGCGUGAGAAAUUGAAAGUACCUGGUGAAUAAGCCACGGCUAACUACGUGCCAGCAGCCGCGGUAAUACGUAGGUGGCGAGCGUUGUCCGGAUUUUUUGGGUUUAAAGGGUGCGUAGGCGGCCCGUUAAGUCAGCGGUGAAAUCCCACGGCUCAACCGUGGAACUGCCGUUGAUACUGGCGGGCUUGAGUUCGGUCGAGGCGGGCGGAACUGGUGGUGUAGCGGUGAAAUGCAUAGAUACCACCAAGAACCCCGAUUGCGUAGGCAGCUCGCUGGGCCGAAACUGACGCUGAGGCACGAAAGCGUGGGGAGCGAA